GGCUUCAACAACCCCGUAGGUCGGGCCUGCAAGGGCAGUGGAUCUACUGGAGCC
ncrna:unclassified sequences nadA RNA